rnacentral:rRNA from 1 species
CCUACGGGGGGCUGCAGUGGGGAAUAUUGGACAAUGGGCGAAAGCCUGAUCCAGCCAUGCCGCGUGUGUGAAGAAGGCCUUCGGGUUGUAAAGCACUUUCAGUGGGGAAGAAAGCCUUGGGGCUAAUACCCUCGAGGAAGGACAUCACCCACAGAAGAAGCACCGGCUAACUCCGUGCCAGCAGCCGCGGUAAUACGGAGGGUGCGAGCGUUAAUCGGAAUUACUGGGCGUAAAGCGCGCGUAGGCGGUCUGAUAAGCCGGUUGUGAAAGCCCCGGGCUCAACCUGGGAACGGCGUCCGGAACUGUCAGGCUAGAGUGCAGGAGAGGAAGGUAGAAUUCCCGGUGUAGCGGUGAAAUGCGUAGAGAUCGGGAGGAAUACCAGUGGCGAAGGCGGCCUUCUGGACUGACACUGACGCUGAGGUGCGAAAGCGUGGGUAGCAAACAGGAUUAGAUACCCCAGUAGUC